AUGCUCUGCUUCUUGCAGCUCUGGGAAGUACAGAAUAAUCAGAGCACAGCAGGCAUCAGCGAUGAAUCCUACCUCUUUCACAGCCAGCCUCUGACAUGCUCUGAUGGCCAGCAAGAGGACACUGAGCAGCAACGGUACAUCAGCAAGUCAUCCUUCUCUGAAAGGGGAUAUGCUUUUAGAUUACUGCAUUAGUUUCCACACUGGAGAUGAGAGCACUUGCUGGAACAGAGCUGGGACAGGAAUAGGAACAAGUGAGAGGAGAGGUUGCGGAACUUUCACAAAGCCUUGGUGAUGCAGAUUUACUAGAUAUAAAGCAUCACUGUCACUGCCUCACAAGCAUACAAGAAGAGAAGGCAGCAGGUACAAGAAGAGAAGGCAGAAAGUAGCAUUUCUACCAGGUAUGCAGCAGAAUACUAAUGUGGUUUCUGUGUUACUUCGUGAGAAAAGCAAGUGAAAACAGAAAGGGAAAAGUGACACAAAGUACUGGCCCUUUCAUGCUAGAGCCUACCCAGAGGGAAGACUGUCAAAUGUAUAGUCAGUGAUCAAAAGCAGCAGGAAUGCACUCCAUCUCCAUUAAGCAUCAUGGAGAAACUUCUCAGAGAACUUCACGUGCCACCACCAUCUCUGCUUUCAUAGGUACCUACAAUUUCCUUUCAACCUACAAAUUUCCAGCACAUUUUUACCAUUUCUACCCAAACUUUUACAUAUUUUUAUAGAUUUUCUUCUCUAGAUAACAAAGACAAGUCUCCAGUUAUUCUACAAGAAUGUCAAGGCUGCUGCCUUAAAACUAAAUCCUAUCCUAUCCAAAAGUGAACAAAAAGUGUUUCCUGAAAUCUCAGUAGACACAGUUUAAAUUAAGUGCUCACUAAAAAACAAACAGAGAGACAAAAAACUAUGGAGCCAGCUGAAUUUGCAAUGGCUUUAAACUAUAACAAUGACUACCAAAUUUGAAUACCAUGUUCUGUUCUUAGAAGUGAGCUCUGUUUCCGUUUACAACAGAAACUGAAGAUUAUUCUGCUGCAGAGAGAGAAAGAAACAGGAAGAGAUGUAAAUAUUACAGAUAGAAGAAUAAAAAUCUUUUUAAGGGGAAUUGAGUGCUUGCC
rnacentral:lncRNA from 1 species